UACAGAGGUGGCUAGCGUUGUUCGGAAUUACUGGGCGUAAAGGGCGCGUAGGCGGCUUGGUCAGUCCCGUGUGAAAUCCCUCGGCUCAACUGAGGAACUGCACGGGAAACUGCCUGGCUUGAGUUCGGGAGAGGGAAGCGGAAUUCCGGGUGUAGCGGUGAAAUGCGCAGAUAUCAGGAGGAACACCGGUGGCGAAGGCGGGAUCCUGGGCCAGUACUGACGCUGAGGAGCGAAAGCGUGGGGAGCAAACAGG
rnacentral:rRNA from 1 species